rnacentral:lncRNA from 1 species
AUCUGGACUAGUUGACCGUGAUGGCUGUGAUGAUGGAUGGCUUACUAAAGAACGGCUUGAAAAAGUCAUUGACUAAAACUUAUCCCUGAGACUUUUCAGACAUGCUUGCUCGUGUGGAGAAGUAUGCCCGUACGGAGGAGGCUUUUACAGAGGAAAUCCCUGCCAGUUCUAUUGCAGCAGGGCAUAAUAAGGAGCGCUCUCCAAGGUGAGAGGGGAGAACCCGCCAUCAUUCUUGAUCUCCAUUUCAGAGAUGGAAGAAUGGGGACUCCUAAAAUCAUCAAUCUCAAAGUCCUCAAAGAAGGGAUCGGUGACCCUCACC